ensembl:ncRNA lncRNA:CR43641 long non-coding RNA:CR43641
AGAGAGCGGUGGAAAACGAGAGAGACUAUUAAUAGACACGCGCGCACUAGCUUUUCAGUAUCAGUAUGAAGUUCAGGGAAAUCCACUCGCUACGAACAGCUGAUCGCCAAGGUUGCUGCGCGGCCGGCGCUGAUGACGUCGCCUAACGGAAAGCUUUCCCACUCAAUCGAGUGAUUCGAACUGAAAAUGCAAUUGGGCGGAUCGUCUUGUCCAGCUCGGGACUCCAUUCCAUUCAAUCUGAUUCGAUUGACCCGCCUGCAAUCAGAUCUUCCCAGGAACCCACACACGCGGUGACCCAGUUAACUUGUUGUCGCCGAUAUGAAUGAAUAUCGCUUUCAGCCACAGAAUGUGUAUAAGCCAACUCAUGUUCAACCAAAAAAAAAAAGCAGCCAGCACAAGUCACGGGCGAAGAAAGAUGGGCGAAACUCUGAAUACCCUGUAAAAUGAAUCCUGAAGCAAAAAUAUUCUGGAAUCUCGAUAUUCAAUUUUGAUUAUUGUUU